GUGCGUCACCUAGCUGCUACUUUGUUGCCCUGCUUCCAGAGACAUGAUGCAUUCAUCAAGUGGUUGAUUUUAAAAGGACGCCACCAUGUGGAUCGACGACAUCUUGCGGCAAGUGGUGUACAUCAAACUGGUAGCCCUUCGCAUGAACCAGCACCAAAGAAGUUGCUAUCCGUUUCCCAAAGAUGGAAACUUGAACUGAAACUUACCUUGAACAAGGAGGACUCCCAGCACUGAAGUGAGCACCACAAUCCACAGCCCCAUGAGGUGAGAAGCAAAGAUCCUCACACGUGAUAUUCAAUUAGUUCAAAAUGUGAAGUUUAACUUUGAAAAAAAAGUAAAAAUAAA